rnacentral:rRNA from 1 species
CAGUCGCCGCGGUAAUACGUAGGGUGCGAGCGUUAAUCGGAAUUACUGGGCGUAAAGCGUGCGCAGGCGGUUGUGUAAGACAGGUGUGAAAUCCCCGGGCUUAACCUGGGAACUGCGCUUGUGACUGCACAGCUAGAGUAUUGCAGAGGGGGGUGGAAUUCCACGUGUAGCAGUGAAAUGCGUAGAGAUGUGGAGGAACACCGAUGGCGAAGGCAGCCCCCUGGGCCAAUACUGACGCUCAUGCACGAAAGCGUGGGGAGCAAACAGGAUUAGAUACACCAGUAGUCCCUGUCUCUUAUAC